AUUGAACGCUAGCGGCAUGCUUAACACAUGCAAGUCGAACGGUAACAGGCCUAGCUUGCUAGGUGCUGACGAGUGGCGGACGGGUGAGUAACGCGUAGGAAUCUACCUCGUAGUGGGGGAUAACCUGGUGAAAACCAGGCUAAUACCGCAUGAGCCCUAAGGGGGAAAGCAGGGGACCGUAAGGCCUUGUGCUAUGAGAUGAGCCUGCGUCAGAUUAGCUUGUUGGUGGGGUAAAGCCUACCAAGGCGAUGAUCUGUAGCUGGUCUGAGAGGACGACCAGCCACACUGGGACUGAGACACGGCCCAGACUCCUACGGGUGGCUG
rnacentral:rRNA from 1 species